CUAAAGGCAUCCAUCUCACAUUUUGAUUACAUAAAUUUUAAAGGAAUUUCAAGAUAAUUUAGCAUCUUCAUCUUUUAUUUGCAGAGGGUGGGGGUGGGUCACUGAGUAUAAAAGGGCUGUACACCUGGACCAAUGCGGACACUGUGUUCCUAGUUAGUCAGAGAUUUAAUAAUCAGAAAAAAAUGAUGCAAAAAGCAAAGGGACUACAGAGAAGAGGGUUGAGGUUUCAGAAACAAUUCAGGGCUGAAUAAAGUGGCACCUGAUGCAGAAGAAUGUUUAGAGCAUGCACCUGGAAGGGAGGCAUAGGGCCCAGGGAGUGGGGCCCAGGAUUGGGUUAACAUUCCAGAAGUCAGGGAAUUGUCUGCUUGCUCAGGAUGGCGGUAGAAGAAGGAGCCCAGAUGACCCUAUUGACAAAUGAGGUAGAAACAUGGAAACACUUUGAGCUUCCAAGUCAAAAAACAGUGCUCUAUCAGUAGCAAAUGUUACUAAUGUUAAAUAUAGUGCUGCAUCUAGCACUGAGAAUUUUUAUAAUGCAUGUCCUGCUAAUGCUUUUGAGAACCUUAACUAGAAGGGUGGGAGAUGCUAACUUGUCUGGCAUAUGAUCUUGUUUCUAUCCAUAUUUCCCAGGCAGAAAUUAUAAGUAUGUUUUAAAGCUUUUAAGGAGUCAGUGAAAAUUAGUUGUGCUCUGGCACCAGCUCUUUCCCGGGAAGCAUGCAGGGCGAUGAAACAGCUCUACAACUGCCAUUCUACACAGAAAGCAGCGCUCAGGGGUCGUAAAACCGUCUGGCUCUGUUCCCUGUGUAGGAGCUGUGCGUGGGAGAACUCGGAGGACCAAUUUCACGGUUGACACGGUGAAAACUACAAACUCCCGGGUAAGACUGUCAGAGGCAGCUUCUCCAAGCCUGCAGCUGAGGAAUGAAGAGUCUUCUACGAUUGCACUGUCAUUCCACACGUUCCACGUAACUGAGUUGGGAAAGUCAUGAAAGUGAAGCCUGGGAAGGAACAAAUCAGUAAGACACACUCACGUGCAUGUGUGGGCACACACACAGCGUUUGUCAUACAGACUGCUAAGGGGAGUGGUAAGGCUGCUUUUCAUUCUGGUACCAGUGUGUCUUGGUAACCAGGAAAAAUGCUUCCAUUUCUUAGGCUAAAGAGAAAGUGGACAGAUGUCUCAGAGAAAGAGAGUGUAUUUUUUCCCCUGAAAUCUUUUGGUUUUGAUGAUACUGUAAUCGUUCUCUUAUGACUUAUAUUUAACUACCACUUGUGAUAGCUGCCAUAUUGCAAUGCCUGCAGAAUAUCAGAACUUUCCAGUUUCCUAAGAAUUGACUUCACUGCCUCUCCUUACUUACCAGCAGGUGAAUGAGCAAUUACAUCCCUUGAGCAAUGAAUAAAUGGACAUGGGUCCUUGGAAUGAACAAUUUCCAUUUCUGUAAAGAUGAAUCCCCCAAAACUGGUUGAAAUUACUGUUGUCAGAGAAUGGAGCUCCAUGUUCUCUGAAUUCCCAUUUCUAGCUGUGCUCUAGGUAGAUGGGCUCUGAAUCACUGACAAAUGUGCAAUAAUGACAAGAAGGGGAGAGCGCAGUAAGACCUUGAUAAUCUGCUAAGCCUACGCAAACUGGGUCUCUACUUUGCUAAUAAGUAUUUUAGUCCUCUUAUGAUUAGCACCUUUUUAGAUGUACGCAAUAAUUCUGUAAGUGAC
ensembl:lncRNA